rnacentral:rRNA from 1 species
UACGUAGGGGGCUAGCGUUGUUCGGAAUUACUGGGCGUAAAGCGCGUGUAGGUGGUGGGACAAGUCUGCUGUGAAAGCGCCUGGCUUAACCGGGCGAGGUCGGCGGAAACUGUCCGACUCGAGGACGGUAGAGGGGGGUGGAAUUCCCGGUGUAGUGGUGAAAUGCGUAGAGAUCGGGAGGAACACCUGUGGCGAAGGCGGCCCCCUGGGCCGGCCCUGACACUGAGACGCGAAGGCGUGGGGAGCGAACGGG